CUGAAAAACAGCCAGUGAUAUGGAGUCUCCCCUUGCCUUGCCUUGCCUUGCCUACGACACUGUUCACCUCAGAAAUCAGCCAGUGGCAUCGAAUACAAGGAGUGUAUGGGAAGUAAACCAAAUACAUUUUGGAGAUAUCAAGUGUCCUGUUGAUACUGAUAAAACAAUACUGGGGAGAGGAUUUUUGACGGAAGAAAAGGAGGAUCUUUGGGGAAUACUAAAAAACACCAGUCAAUCAGACCAACAGUGAGGAGGGACAAAUGACACUUUCCUUCAAUCACACUGAGAAAUCUCUCCUUCAUUUGUAUUUUGAUGCCCGGAAGAAUCAUGGGUGCUUCUCGGAUCUAUUAACUAAUCUCAGAAAGCCAAGGAAAAUGAACUAUAUGAUGGCUGAGGUUGACAAAAGCAACUUUAAGUCACCAAGAGGCAAAAUGCCAAGUGGCACAUGAGGAACAACCAGCUCCUUGCCAGAGGUGGAAACCGUCCAAAGGAUAAUAUAAUUUUUCCAGUGAAGCAGAGUUCGUGCUAGAGAACCAACUCAACAUUUACCUAGACAGCUGAUGUCACCUCCACCCAGUCACGUUAGUCUUCACCAAAGGAAGAGAAAGACAUUGUAUUGUUCA
ensembl:lncRNA